UACGUAGGGCGCGAGCGCUAUCCGGAAUUAUUGGGCGUAAAGAGCUCGUAGGCGGUUUGUCACGUCUGCUGUGAAAACUGGAGGCUCAACCUCCAGCCUGCAGUGGGUACGGGCAGACUAGAGUGCGGUAGGGGAGAUUGGAAUUCCUGGUGUAGCGGUGGAAUGCGCAGAUAUCAGGAGGAACACCGAUGGCGAAGGCAGAUCUCUGGGCCGUAACUGACGCUGAGGAGCGAAAGCAUGGGGAGCGAACAGG
rnacentral:rRNA from 1 species